rnacentral:rRNA from 1 species
CACGUAAGGGGCGAGCGUUGUCCGGAAUCACUGGGCGUAAAGGGCACGUAGGCGGCUGUACAAGUCAGAGGUGAAAGGCGCGAGCUCAACUCGUGGACUGCCUUUGAAACUGUACGGCUUGAGUUCUGCAGGGGAAAGUGGAAUUCAUGGUGUAGCGGUGAAAUGCGUAGAUAUCAUGGAGAACACCCGUGGCGAAGGCGGCUUUCUGGGCAGAAACUGACGCUGAGGUGCGAAAGCUAGGGGAGCAAACAGG